rnacentral:lncRNA from 1 species
UCUUUCCAAAAGAAUAAAGAUUCGAACAUUUCGCCUCUAUACAAUUUUAACAAGAAGGUAUUGGAUCUGGAUCUAACGAUCCAAAGCGUCCAUCUAUGACCAACUCGUAAUUUAUGUUUUAGAGGUAUCACAACUUUAGUUGGGAUUAGUCACUACCUUGCAACCUUUUGGGUUUUAAGCAUCAUUAUUUUCUAAACAGUUAACACCACCAUAUUAUCUCUACUAUAGAGAUAAUUAAUUAGAUUACCAUAAUCCAAUCAUUGAUUAAUAAAGAACAUUGUUUUGUCAAACAAAACAUAUAUCCAUUUCACAUAGUGACGGAAUUUAGUUCCUUAAAAUUGGAAUAUAAAGACAAUCUAUAUUUUUCCAAUUUCUUUGGUAGUUCAUAUGAGGAAGUAAGUACCAUCUGCUUUCGCAGAGAUCUACAUUUGAUUCACGCUUCGAAUGUGAAGUACUUUCUCUUCUCUCAUUAAUCUUCUACUUCUUAUUAGUCACACUUUUACAACGAUUGUAAAACAUAGUCACUAAUACGGAAUCAUGCAUUCAAUUAGAAGAACCAACUGUUUUGAACUAUUCAAGAACAAUUUACAACACCUUCGAAAGGU